GAUGAACGCUGGCGGCGUGCCUAAUACAUGCAAGUCGAGCGAACAGACGAGGAGCUUGCUCCUCUGACGUUAGCGGCGGACGGGUGAGUAACACGUGGAUAGCCUACCUAUAAGACUGGGAUAACUUCGGGAAACCGGAGCUAAUACCGGAUAAUAUAUUGAACCGCAUGGUUCAAUAGUGAAAGACGGUUUUGCUGUCACUUAUAGAUGGAUCCGCGCCGCAUUAGCUAGUUGGUAAGGUAACGGCUUACCAAGGCAACGAUGCGUAGCCGACCUGAGAGGGUGAUCGGCCACACUGGAACUGAGACACGGUCCAGACUCCUACGGGAGGCAGCAGUAGGGAAUCUUCCGCAAUGGGCGAAAGCCUGACGGAGCAACGCCGCGUGAGUGAUGAAGGUCUUCGGAUCGUAAAACUCUGUUAUUAGGGAAGAACAAAUGUGUAAGUAACUAUGCACGUCUUGACUGUACCUAAUCAGAAAGCCACGGCUAACUACGU
rnacentral:rRNA from 1 species